UUGGCACCACGUUUUUAGGCUCCGAACAUGGGUUACUUUUGUGGAACGUCGUUUUGCUCUUUUCCAUGUUGUUUGGAUGAAUGAAAAAGCAAGUUUGUGAAACGCGGUUUCUGUCUCCAAAACACAGUCUUCCUGAAGCUGAGAUUCAGAGCUUCUACGGCAGAUGAAAACCACGUUUCAGCCUUUAAUUUCUCAAGUGGCAGAUUUCGUGGUUAAUCUCAUUACUCAUGGUAGAUGUGUUGGUUUGGAUGAAUGAAAAAGCAAGUUUGUGAAACGCGGUUUCUGUCUCCAAAACACAGUCUUCCUGAAGCUGAGAUUCAGAGCUUCUACGGCAGAUGAAAACCACGUUUCAGCCUUUAAUUUCUCAAGUGGCAGAUUUCGUGGUUAAUCUCAUUACUCAUGGUAGAUGUGUUGGUUGGGUGAAUUUAUUCCUUCAGCUUUUCCCUUAUAUAUGAUGCUUAUGAGCUACUUGUGAGAAUCAUUCCAUUGCUCUUCCAAGACCCGAAAGU